GUAAGGAGUGGGCGGGACCGCGGCCUUGCGCGAGGGCGACGGCGGAAGCGGGCGCCGUGGGAGGGGGUCUGUCGCCAUGGCGACCGCAGCGGAGGGGCUGCCCGAGGCCGACGCGCAGCCCGCCAAGCGCCGGAGGCAAAGCGGACGCAGUCACGACACAGAGGGAGCUGCGCUGGUUCUGCGAGAAGCAGCCCGGGGGCCGGUUGUGGAGGAGCGGGUUUCUGUGAGAAAUGCAGCGGUUGUCGUUUUCUCUGGCUGGAAAUCUGGUUUCGCUCCUUGUGAAGCUGGCCUGGGGGCAGCUCCUGUGUUUUCAGUCAGCGACUAGAAAUAAAGAGCAGCAGCACUGCACGCGGAGUCCUUAGAAGCCGCGUCCCACAAAGGCCCUCCCCCAGUCCCUUUAGGAGGGGGCUGAGCUGUAGGAUCCUGCUGUUGAAACAGCAGAGGAAGCUAAGGAACCAGCAGAAGCGGACAUCAAUGAGCUCUGUAAAGAUAUGUUCAGCAAAAUGGCCACUUACCUAACAGGUGAACUGACAGCCACCAGUGAAGACUACAAGCUCUUGGAAAACAUGAACAAGUUGACUAGCUUGAAGUACCUAGAAAUGAAAGAUAUUGCUAUAAACAUCAGUAGAAAUCUGAAGGAUUUAAAUCAAAAAUAUGCUGCUCUUCAGCCAUAUCUGGAACAAAUCAACCUAAUUGAGGAGCAGGUUGCAGCUCUGGAACAGGCAGCUUAUAAAUUGGAUGCAUAUUCCAAAAGACUUGAAGCCAAGUACAAAAAACUGGAGAAACGAUGAAAUUGCAACAGUCGUUAAGUUGGAGUUGGGCUGUGGGUCAGACUGAUCUCUGAGUUGCACAGCAUCAGUUUUAUAUGUUGACAAGGAUUUGGUAACAGCUAACAUAAGACUGGUAAUUUUUUUUAUUUUUUUAUUUUUAUCAAUUGAAUACAGUUGGCUGUAUUCAGGCCUAAGGCUGAAUGGUAUUUUCCUCUUCUGUAAUGUUUCUGUUGCCUCAGUUCCACGGUGGAAAGUUGAAACUUGUCCCUAACCCAUAUCUUGAUAUUGGCUAUCCCUUCAUUAGUCCUGUGUUCAACAUGCAAUAUUCUACCAAGGAGAAGCCCUGCAUAACCUAUAAAGACAUUUUCACUUAGUAGCAGCAGGACAUAAACCUAUUUUUUUCUUUCAUUGAGCUCUGUAUUGAGAAGAUUCCCUGGCCUUUGGAGUUGUGAGCAUGGUACUGAAAACACUUAAGUUUGCUAUGCAUUUUUAUCUGUUUAAAAUAGAGAGACUAGUCAUUAUGAAUUUACAAUAAAACAACUUGCUACAUUUGUCUCUCUGGAAUCUCACAAAUUCCUGUUGGAAAGACUAUGUAAGUUGUAUUUUUGUUUUUCAAAGGGUCUGUUAAUAAAGACAAACACUUUACAGUUACUGGAGAUCGUAGAAGAAAACAUGUUUU
rnacentral:lncRNA from 1 species